UUAAGCGACUAAGCGUACACGGUGGAUGCCCUGGCAGUCAGAGGCGAUGAAGGACGUGCUAAUCUGCGAUAAGCGUCGGUAAGGUGAUAUGAACCGUUAUAACCGGCGAUUUCCGAAUGGGGAAACCCAGUGUGUUUCGACACACUAUCAUUAACUGAAUCCAUAGGUUAAUGAGGCGAACCGGGGGAACUGAAACAUCUAAGUACCCCGAGGAAAAGAAAUCAACCGAGAUUCCCCCAGUAGCGGCGAGCGAACGGGGAGCAGCCCAGAGUCUGAAUCAGUGUGUGUGUUAGUGGAAGCGUCUGGAAAGGCGCGCGAUACAGGGUGACAGCCCCGUACACAAAAAUGCACAUGCUGUGAGCUCGAUGAGUAGGGCGGGACACGUGGUAUCCUGUCUGAAUAUGGGGGGACCAUCCUCCAAGGCUAAAUACUCCUGACUGACCGAUAGUGAACCAGUACCGUGAGGGAAAGGCGAAAAGAACCCCGGCGAGGGGAGUGAAAAAGAACCUGAAACCGUGUACGUACAAGCAGUGGGAGCCUCUUUAUGGGGUGACUGCGUACCUUUUGUAUAAUGGGUCAGCGACUUAUAUUCUGUAGCAAGGUUAACCGAAUAGGGGAGCCGAAGGGAAACCGAGUCUUAACUGGGCGUUAAGUUGCAGGGUAUAGACCCGAAACCCGGUGAUCUAGCCAUGGGCAGGUUGAAGGUUGGGUAACACUAACUGGAGGACCGAACCGACUAAUGUUGAAAAAUUAGCGGAUGACUUGUGGCUGGGGGUGAAAGGCCAAUCAAACCGGGAGAUAGCUGGUUCUCCCCGAAAGCUAUUUAGGUAGCGCCUCGUGAAUUCAUCUCCGGGGGUAGAGCACUGUUUCGGCAAGGGGGUCAUCCCGACUUACCAACCCGAUGCAAACUGCGAAUACCGGAGAAUGUUAUCACGGGAGACACACGGCGGGUGCUAACGUCCGUCGUGAAGAGGGAAACAACCCAGACCGCCAGCUAAGGUCCCAAAGUCAUGGUUAAGUGGGAAACGAUGUGGGAAGGCCCAGACAGCCAGGAUGUUGGCUUAGAAGCAGCCAUCAUUUAAAGAAAGCGUAAUAGCUCACUGGUCGAGUCGGCCUGCGCGGAAGAUGUAACGGGGCUAAACCAUGCACCGAAGCUGCGGCAGCGACACUGUGUGUUGUUGGGUAGGGGAGCGUUCUGUAAGCCUGUGAAGGUGUACUGUGAGGUAUGCUGGAGGUAUCAGAAGUGCGAAUGCUGACAUAAGUAACGAUAAAGCGGGUGAAAAGCCCGCUCGCCGGAAGACCAAGGGUUCCUGUCCAACGUUAAUCGGGGCAGGGUGAGUCGACCCCUAAGGCGAGGCCGAAAGGCGUAGUCGAUGGGAAACAGGUUAAUAUUCCUGUACUUGGUGUUACUGCGAAGGGGGGACGGAGAAGGCUAUGUUGGCCGGGCGACGGUUGUCCCGGUUUAAGCGUGUAGGCUGGUUUUCCAGGCAAAUCCGGAAAAUCAAGGCUGAGGCGUGAUGACGAGGCACUACGGUGCUGAAGCAACAAAUGCCCUGCUUCCAGGAAAAGCCUCUAAGCAUCAGGUAACAUCAAAUCGUACCCCAAACCGACACAGGUGGUCAGGUAGAGAAUACCAAGGCGCUUGAGAGAACUCGGGUGAAGGAACUAGGCAAAAUGGUGCCGUAACUUCGGGAGAAGGCACGCUGAUAUGUAGGUGAAGUCCCUUGCGGAUGGAGCUGAAAUCAGUCGAAGAUACCAGCUGGCUGCAACUGUUUAUUAAAAACACAGCACUGUGCAAACACGAAAGUGGACGUAUACGGUGUGACGCCUGCCCGGUGCCGGAAGGUUAAUUGAUGGGGUCAGCGCAAGCGAAGCUCUUGAUCGAAGCCCCGGUAAACGGCGGCCGUAACUAUAACGGUCCUAAGGUAGCGAAAUUCCUUGUCGGGUAAGUUCCGACCUGCACGAAUGGCGUAAUGAUGGCCAGGCUGUCUCCACCCGAGACUCAGUGAAAUUGAACUCGCUGUGAAGAUGCAGUGUACCCGCGGCAAGACGGAAAGACCCCGUGAACCUUUACUAUAGCUUGACACUGAACAUUGAGCCUUGAUGUGUAGGAUAGGUGGGAGGCUUUGAAGUGUGGACGCCAGUCUGCAUGGAGCCGACCUUGAAAUACCACCCUUUAAUGUUUGAUGUUCUAACGUUGACCCGUAAUCCGGGUUGCGGACAGUGUCUGGUGGGUAGUUUGACUGGGGCGGUCUCCUCCUAAAGAGUAACGGAGGAGCACGAAGGUUGGCUAAUCCUGGUCGGACAUCAGGAGGUUAGUGCAAUGGCAUAAGCCAGCUUGACUGCGAGCGUGACGGCGCGAGCAGGUGCGAAAGCAGGUCAUAGUGAUCCGGUGGUUCUGAAUGGAAGGGCCAUCGCUCAACGGAUAAAAGGUACUCCGGGGAUAACAGGCUGAUACCGCCCAAGAGUUCAUAUCGACGGCGGUGUUUGGCACCUCGAUGUCGGCUCAUCACAUCCUGGGGCUGAAGUAGGUCCCAAGGGUAUGGCUGUUCGCCAUUUAAAGUGGUACGCGAGCUGGGUUUAGAACGUCGUGAGACAGUUCGGUCCCUAUCUGCCGUGGGCGCUGGAGAACUGAGGGGGGCUGCUCCUAGUACGAGAGGACCGGAGUGGACGCAUCACUGGUGUUCGGGUUGUCAUGCCAAUGGCACUGCCCGGUAGCUAAAUGCGGAAGAGAUAAGUGCUGAAAGCAUCUAAGCACGAAACUUGCCCCGAGAUGAGUUCUCCCUGACUCCUUGAGAGUCCUGAAGGAACGUUGAAGACGACGACGUUGAUAGGCCGGGUGUGUAAGCGCAGCGAUGCGUUGAGCUAACCGGUACUAAUGAACCGUGAGGCUUAACCUU
rnacentral:rRNA from 1 species